GAGGGACUGCGCGGCGCCAUGGACGUCGAGAGGCUGCAGGAGGCGCUGAAAGAUUUUGAGAAGAGAGGGAAAAAGGAAGUUUGUCCUGUCCUGCAGAAGAUGGAGGUCUGGUUUGUGAAAUUUCAGAGGGAAAAUUAAAGACUCUUUUCAGGGCCAUUGCUGUUUUGAUUGUGAAGAUUCUGUAGUUCUGGUUAGCUGGGGCUGAAGAAUCAGCUGUGAUUAACAAGAUACCAGAACUACUAAAGCAAAAACUUUGCAUUACUGGGACUAUUGAUGCUGGUUAGCUGGAGCUAAGAAAUUAGCGGUGAUUAAGAAGAGACCAGCAUCAUUGAGGUGACAUCUUCUGGGAAGUGUUUUCUGAGAGCACAGUGGCUGCGUUCCAGAUAUAGCCAAAGUUGUACCUUGUGCUCUGGCUGGACUUGGUAACGUGUAAGGGUCACCCAGGUGGUACUGGUUUUGAAGGCAUGAAGGAGUUGAGCAGAGCAGCUGAGACUUAGCACUGUGAGAGGCCAUGGAAGGCCAUUGGUGAAAGUGCAGCCUCAGUUGCAAUUGAUGGCCUAGGACUGAAGGGGUCAUGCAGUGUUUUGGAGAUGCCAGUACCAUGAGAUGACCACCAAGAGCAGCAGCAGCAGUGGAGUAGAGGCAUCUGGAGCCUAAAGGAUGACGCGUGUGCUACAAAGGGCAUGGCUGGAGAAGUGACCCAAGCCCUUGGAGGAGCCCAGAAGAUCGUGAGUUGGAUCCCAGACAUUGGACGGUUGGAGAUUGAUUUUUGCUUUUGAUUGUGACUGUGCCCUGAUAUUUUCCCUCUUGAAGGAAGAAACUGUUUUAGUGAUGCCCACAGUUAAGAGACUUUUAAUUUAAAAAGACUUUGGAUUUUUAAAAGAGAUGGAUAUUUUAAAGAGAUUGAAAUUUUAAGAAUAUGUAAAGACUGUGGGACAUUUAAAGUUAUUUAGACUCUCAAUGUGCACUCAGAAUGCACUGGAAAUACAAGCUAAAUG
rnacentral:lncRNA from 1 species